UCUUCUCUCGUCCACUGAGGCGCCUUUGCCAAUCCAAACAAACACCUCCGACUUUGUGUCGAUGAUGAACACAUCCUGUGGGAAAGAAAAGUGCACUUUGUUUGUCUCGAUAUAUUAUGAAUAUGCUGGACUUUUAUUGAGUUGUGCCGAGAACAUUUAAUUGUGAUUUCUGAUGGAAUUCAAAGGGAAAUAGAUUAUUCUUGAAACGCAUCCGAGGAUCCUGCUUUGCUUCCACGGUUCGACAGUUCGCACGAUUUCGGAUUGUCCGACGUGUCAGCGUCAGAAGACAUAGCGCUCACCCGAACGUCCGAGUUCGAGCCCUUUGAUUUGACAAGAGCCGAAGUGCAACCGCCCGUUGUGAUCGACGAACGCCCACUAUUCGCGAGGUGGCAGUGGAUGUCCUACUAGCGGCCGUCCGACAGCUCAAGGCCGACCUCCAGCUGGCUAGAUCCGUGAGCAGAUGCAUGGCCAAUCUGGCAAACAGCAUCACCCAGCUGCUCAACAACAGCAUCGACAGACU